GGUUGUAGUACACCAGCAAGAGAAGAAUAAAGGCAGUGACCACGCAGUGCCCCUCUCGCGCUAUAAAAGAAGGAGGACUGAGCACUGCGAAAUACACACACACACACACACACACACACACACACACACACACACAACACCAGACUCCAGAGCAUCGCAACAUCCAAGCACCACAGCCCUCACACUCCUUAGUAGUCGUAGUAGUAGUAGCUAGCUCCAGUUGUAUAAAGCCUUUGAGCCAUUGUAUAUCCCCGAGGUGAAGGUAGGCAGAAGAAAUGAAGAAAGGAUCGCUUCCUGGAGGAUAUGAAGCUUACAUAUUUGGAGAACAAAAUUAGUUCAAAAUAUUUGCACCAGGCACAUUCAACUUCAAGGCCAAAAGUCAUAUCAAUAUUAAUGACAUCCAGAGGUUCAUACUAGAUAAUUUCUGGUAUCAAUACACCAAUAAAAGAGAAGAAAAAGGGUACAUGCUGGUAAUUCUUAAUAGCCUAUUUGAAUACUUUAAUUUAUUAAACAAAGGCACCCCCAAAGCAGCACAAAAGGAAGUGCAAAAAUAAAAUAUGCUAUAUAUAAUAUUGGAUGGAAGUAAACAAAGAAUAUAUAUGAGCUUUCAAGAUGUUUUAAAAGAGAAAUUUGAUGCAAGGUGAAAGAAUGAAGACUUAUCAUGGAAAAGACAUGAUGAUUACAAUGAGGCCCUAAAAUGGGCAAGAAGCUUAAUAGGGCAAAAUUAUUAUAUAGACCCAAAAGCUAAAGAAUAUAUCUUAAGUCGGAGAGGCAUAUGUAGCAACAUGACCACUCCAUCUUUUCCUAAAUAUACAAAGGGAGAAGCAUCAAGCUCCCAGAAGGUUAAAGAAGAAGAUUCCACUAAAUAUGAGACACACAAAGAAUGCCUUGUCAAAGGAGUCGAUCCUUUAGAUGGUGAAUAUAUAGACUCAGAAAUAAAUGAAAAAUUUGAACAACUUGCAAAAUCAAUGAAGGAAGAACUGAAAUAAGAAAUUAUAGAAGAAUUAAGAUCAGAAGUGAAUGGAAAAUUUGAAGAACUAAAGAAAGAAUAUGAUAAAAAAAUAUGAUUUCAAUAUUUCUGAGAUACACCAUAUCAACAUUGCCGGACACGGGCAACCAAUUGAAUAAAAGAGGUAAAAUAAUAAUCAAAUAUAUUCAAAUAUGAAAUCAUAUGAAUAUCGAUUAUACGGGCGCGGAGGACCUAUACUAGAAUAUUGAUAGAAUUCAAAAUAUUGAUAAAGUAUUAUCAAUAAUAUGGGCUGGGCAGACCCAUACCCAAAGAAAAAAAUCGAAAAGAAUAAAAAUAAAUAAAUUAUAAUAACAAUAUAAAUGUAGCAAGAAUAGUUAUGCAGGAAGCAAGUACGCAACAUCCGUAUCAGGAAAGGUCAAGGAGAGGAGUUAAGCUAAAUUCCUCAAUCAAGACGACCCUUCAUCCAAGUUAAAAUAUUGGGUCAUGCAUGAAGACUACAAUAUUCAGCCAUGCAUGGAUGACUCAUACAAUGGUGCAUGCAAGACUUGGAAUUAAAUAUCAUGGCAAGAGUUGCAAUGAAGACAAGAGCUUUAGUCUAGACAAGAUCAUCUGUCAAGACAAGGUUUCCAGUCUGGACAAAAUCAUCUGUCAAGGCAAAGAUUUCAGUCUAGAAAAAAUCAUCUGUCAGGCUAAAUAUUUUAGUCUGGAGAAAAUCGUCUGUCCAGACAAAGCCUUCCUUGAAACAACUUCAGCGUCUUGCAUGUUCCCUUGUGUGAGCUGAUGAAACAAUCCCACAUUUUAUCUGCCUUGUAGUUUGCACACUCAAGCAUCUUUUUUUUGCAUAGCCAUGCAUUAUUCCGAUGAGUGACCGAGUUUAUGUCCAGAUAGACGAUUUUGUCCAGACUGAAA